rnacentral:rRNA from 1 species
GUAAUGAUUAAGUAGGGAUAGGUUGGGGGCAUUAGUAUUCAAUUGUCAGAGGUGAAAUUCUUGGUAUUUAUUGAAGACUAACUUCUGACGAAAGCAUUUGCCAAGGAUUGUUUUCAUUUAAUCAAGAACGAAAGUUAGGGGAUCGAAGACGAUCAGAUACCGUCGUAGUCUUAACCAUAAACUAUGCCGACUAGGGAUCGGACGAUGUUAAUUUUUAAUGACUCG